GCAUCAUUCAAAUAUCUGCCCUAUCAACUUUCGAUGGUCGGAUAGAGGCCUACCAUGGUUUCAACGGGUAACGGGGAAUAAGGGUUCGAUUCCGGAGAGGGAGCCUGAGAAACGGCUACCACAUCCAAGGAAGGCAGCAGGCGCGCAAAUUACCCAAUCCCGACCGGGGAGGUAGUGACAAUAAAUACUGAUACAGGGCUCUUUUGGGUCUUGUAAUUGGAAUGAGUACAAUUUAAAUCCCUUAACGAGGAACAAUUGGAGGGCAAGUCUGGUGCCAGCAGCCGCGGUAAUUCCAGCUCCAAUAGCGUAUAUUAAAGUUGUUGAGGUUAAAAAGCUCGUAGUUG
rnacentral:rRNA from 1 species